rnacentral:rRNA from 2 species
GGGUUGUGAGGUUAAGCGACUAAGCGUACACGGUGGAUGCCCUGGCAGUCAGAGGCGAUGAAGGACGUGCUAAUCUGCGAUAAGCGUCGGUAAGGUGAUAUGAACCGUUAUAACCGGCGAUUUCCGAAUGGGGAAACCCAGUGUGAUUCGUCACACUAUCGUUAACUGAAUACAUAGGUUAACGAAGCGAACCGGGGGAACUGAAACAUCUAAGUACCCCGAGGAAAAGAAAUCAACCGAGAUUCCCCCAGUAGCGGCGAGCGAACGGGGAGGAGCCCAGAGCCUGAAUCAGCAUGUGUGUUAGUGGAAGCGUCUGGAAAGGCGCGCGAUACAGGGUGACAGCCCCGUACACAAAAGCGCAUGUGCUGUGAGCUCGAUGAGUAGGGCGGGACACGUGGUAUCCUGUCUGAAUAUGGGGGGACCAUCCUCCAAGGCUAAAUACUCCUGACUGACCGAUAGUGAACCAGUACCGUGAGGGAAAGGCGAAAAGAACCCCGGCGAGGGGAGUGAAAAAGAACCUGAAACCGUGUACGUACAAGCAGUGGGAGCCCCACCACCAAAGCAUUCUCUGGUGUUGAAGGCCCUGCAAAGCAGCAUCGCGGUGGCGGAGCGUCGUUUGCGACGCCCAACACACAAAACAAGCGGUGAGUGCUUUGGGGUGGGGUGACUGCGUACCUUUUGUAUAAUGGGUCAGCGACUUAUAUUCUGUAGCAAGGUUAACCGUAUAGGGGAGCCGAAGGGAAACCGAGUCUUAACUGGGCGUUAAGUUGCAGGGUAUAGACCCGAAACCCGGUGAUCUAGCCAUGGGCAGGUUGAAGGUUGGGUAACACUAACUGGAGGACCGAACCGACUAAUGUUGAAAAAUUAGCGGAUGACUUGUGGCUGGGGGUGAAAGGCCAAUCAAACCGGGAGAUAGCUGGUUCUCCCCGAAAGCUAUUUAGGUAGCGCCUCGUGAACUCAUCUUCGGGGGUAGAGCACUGUUUCGGCUAGGGGGUCAUCCCGACUUACCAACCCGAUGCAAACUGCGAAUACCGAAGAAUGUUAUCACGGGAGACACACGGCGGGUGCUAACGUCCGUCGUGAAGAGGGAAACAACCCAGACCGCCAGCUAAGGUCCCAAAGUCACAGUUAAGUGGGAAACGAUGUGGGAAGGCUCAGACAGCCAGGAUGUUGGCUUAGAAGCAGCCAUCAUUUAAAGAAAGCGUAAUAGCUCACUGGUCGAGUCGGCCUGCGCGGAAGAUGUAACGGGGCUAAACUGUGCACCGAAGCUGCGGCAGCGACGCUUAUGCGUUGUUGGGUAGGGGAGCGUUCUGUAAGCCUGCGAAGGUGUCCUGUGAGGGAUGCUGGAGGUAUCAGAAGUGCGAAUGCUGACAUAAGUAACGAUAAUGCGGGUGAAAAGCCCGCUCGCCGGAAGACCAAGGGUUCCUGUCCAACGUUAAUCGGGGCAGGGUGAGUCGACCCCUAAGGCGAGGCCGAAAGGCGUAGUCGAUGGGAAACGGGUUAAUAUUCCCGUACUUGGUGUUACUGCGAAGGGGGGACGGAGAAGGCUAUGUUGGCCGGGCGACGGUUGUCCCGGUUUAAGCGUGUAGGCUGGUUUUCCAGGCAAAUCCGGAAAAUCAAGGCUGAGGCGUGAUGACGAGGCACUACGGUGCUGAAGCAACAAAUGCCCUGCUUCCAGGAAAAGCCUCUAAGCAUCAGGUAACAUCAAAUCGUACCCCAAACCGACACAGGUGGUCAGGUAGAGAAUACCAAGGCGCUUGAGAGAACUCGGGUGAAGGAACUAGGCAAAAUGGUGCCGUAACUUCGGGAGAAGGCACGCUGACACGUAGGUGAAGUGAUUUACUCAUGGAGCUGAAGUCAGUCGAAGAUACCAGCUGGCUGCAACUGUUUAUUAAAAACACAGCACUGUGCAAACACGAAAGUGGACGUAUACGGUGUGACGCCUGCCCGGUGCCGGAAGGUUAAUUGAUGGGGUCAGCGCAAGCGAAGCUCCUGAUCGAAGCCCCGGUAAACGGCGGCCGUAACUAUAACGGUCCUAAGGUAGCGAAAUUCCUUGUCGGGUAAGUUCCGACCUGCACGAAUGGCGUAAUGAUGGCCAGGCUGUCUCCACCCGAGACUCAGUGAAAUUGAACUCGCUGUGAAGAUGCAGUGUACCCGCGGCAAGACGGAAAGACCCCGUGAACCUUUACUAUAGCUUGACACUGAACAUUGAGCCUUGAUGUGUAGGAUAGGUGGGAGGCUUUGAAGUGUGGACGCCAGUCUGCAUGGAGCCGACCUUGAAAUACCACCCUUUAAUGUUUGAUGUUCUAACGUGGACCCGUAAUCCGGGUUGCGGACAGUGUCUGGUGGGUAGUUUGACUGGGGCGGUCUCCUCCUAAAGAGUAACGGAGGAGCACGAAGGUUGGCUAAUCCUGGUCGGACAUCAGGAGGUUAGUGCAAUGGCAUAAGCCAGCUUGACUGCGAGCGUGACGGCGCGAGCAGGUGCGAAAGCAGGUCAUAGUGAUCCGGUGGUUCUGAAUGGAAGGGCCAUCGCUCAACGGAUAAAAGGUACUCCGGGGAUAACAGGCUGAUACCGCCCAAGAGUUCAUAUCGACGGCGGUGUUUGGCACCUCGAUGUCGGCUCAUCACAUCCUGGGGCUGAAGUAGGUCCCAAGGGUAUGGCUGUUCGCCAUUUAAAGUGGUACGCGAGCUGGGUUUAGAACGUCGUGAGACAGUUCGGUCCCUAUCUGCCGUGGGCGCUGGAGAACUGAGGGGGGCUGCUCCUAGUACGAGAGGACCGGAGUGGACGCAUCACUGGUGUUCGGGUUGUCAUGCCAAUGGCACUGCCCGGUAGCUAAAUGCGGAAGAGAUAAGUGCUGAAAGCAUCUAAGCACGAAACUUGCCCCGAGAUGAGUUCUCCCUGAGACUUUAAGUCUCCUGAAGGAACGUUGAAGACGACGACGUUGAUAGGCCGGGUGUGUAAGCGCAGCGAUGCGUUGAGCUAACCGGUACUAAUGAACCGUGAGGCUUAACCUUACAACGCCGAAG